rnacentral:rRNA from 1 species
GACGAACGCUGGCGGCGUGCUUAACACAUGCAAGUCGAGCGGUAAGGCCCCUUCGGGGGUACACGAGCGGCGAACGGGUGAGUAACACGUGAGCAAUCUGCCCAUCACAUCGGGAUAACUCCGGGAAACCGAAGCUAAUACCGAAUACGACCACCUCCGGCAUCGGAUGGUGGUGGAAAGUUCCGGCGGUGAUGGAUGAGCUCGCGGCCUAUCAGCUUGUUGGUGGGGUAACGGCCCACCAAGGCUUCGACGGGUAGCCGGCCUGAGAGGUGACCGGCCACACUGGGACUGAGACACGGCCCAGACUCCUACGGGAGGCAACAGUGGGGAAUAUUGGACAAUGGGCGAAAGCCUGAUCCAGCAACGCCGCGUGAGGGAUGACGGCCUUCGGGUUGUAAACCUCUUUCAGCAGGGACGAAGCGCAAGUGACGGUACCUGCAGAAGAAGCACCGGCCAACUACGU